rnacentral:lncRNA from 1 species
AUCUUUGAUUCCCCGUUUCUUCGGACCCUUCAAUAUUUCUUCGAAAAUGUCAAAUCAAAUCCGACGGCCGAACAGAUCCAUGCCACCGUCAAUAACUUCGCCGACGACAUCUACAGCAUCGCAGGUUUGAUACUUUCGAAAGAAGAGGGGAGGGGAAUCUUUGAUUCCCCGUUUCUUUGGACCCUUCAAUAUUUCUUCGAAAUUGUCAAACCAAAUCCGACGACCGAACAGAUCCGUGCCACCGUCAACAACUUCGCUGACGACAUCUACAGCAUUGCC